rnacentral:tRNA from 1 species
AUUUUUGUAGCUUAAUUAUAGAGCGUAGUGUUGAAGCCACUAAAGUAGAUUUAAUUCUCGAAGAUG